GUGGGGAAUCUUGCGCAAUGGGCGAAAGCCUGACGCAGCCAUGCCGCGUGAAUGAUGAAGGUCUUAGGAUUGUAAAAUUCUUUCACCGGGGACGAUAAUGACGGUACCCGGAGAAGAAGCCCCGGCUAACUUCGUGCCAGCAGCCGCGGUAAUACGAAGGGGGCUAGCGUUGCUCGGAAUUACUGGGCGUAAAGGGCGCGUAGGCGGACAGUUUAGUCAGAGGUGAAAGCCCAGGGCUCAACCUUGGAAUUGCCUUUGAUACUGGCUGUCUUGAGUACGGGAGAGGUGAGGGGAACUCCGAGUGUAGAGGUGAAAUUCGUAGAUAUUCGGAAGAACACCAGUGGCGAAGGCGACUCACUGGCCCGUUACUGACGCUGAGGCGCGGAAGCGUGGGGAGCAAACAGGAUUAGAUACCCCAGUAGUCC
rnacentral:rRNA from 1 species